rnacentral:rRNA from 1 species
AACGUAGGAGGCAAGCGUUAUCCGGAUUUACUGGGUGUAAAGCGCGUGCAGGCGGUCAUGUAAGUCGUGCGUGAAAGCUCCCGGCUCAACCGGGAGAGGUCGUGCGGAACUGCGUGACUUGAGGUAGGUAGAGGCGUGUGGAAUUCCGGGUGUAGUGGUGAAAUGCGUAGAUAUCCGGAGGAACACCAGUGGCGAAGGCGACACGCUGGGCCUGACCUGACGCUAAGACGCGAAAGCAUGGGGAGCAAACGGGAUUAGAUACCCCCGUA